AUUCGUCACAAUAGCAUUGACAGUAAAGAUGUCAAAUAUCAUAAAAUAAAAAUAUUAAUCAUAAUAAAAACUAAUUUCAAAAUUAAAAUCAAUGUAAAAGAAAAGAUAAUCAAAGUACCUAUGUCCGAUGGGGAUUGAUAAUAAUAAUAAAGUUGGAAUACCGAAUUUCUUUUUUAAGAAAUUCGGUAUUAAACAUCGUACUUUUUCCAAUGUCUGUACAGGUUCAGAAAUUCGUCGACCACUGAUCUAUAGAAACAGGGAGCACACUGGUCGCCAUCACCCGUCGCUUUUGCCAGCAAUUCAACUUCUGAUUUGGGGCUUAAUAUUUUUAAGUUGUACCCAAGAAAGAGUUGAAAAUAUAGCUGAAAAUAUAACAGAGAAUGUUGCAGAUCAGUGCUUCAAUGAAAUUGUGGACGCUUUGUGGUUUUCUUCAAUUUAACACAUAAAACGUUAAUGCUAUCUAUAAUGUAUGUCACCUUAAAAAACAAUACUAUUAGUUUGUAAUGCAAGCAGACUACCGACUAGCAACUAACUCAAAUACUCCAGUAAAAAACUUAAGUACUAGUAAAAAACUUAAGUUCAAAACAAUCCUCAUUCAAUUGUAUUUCAUUUAGUCCGAUUGUACUUUGGCUCAUAAAGUAGACGGCCUUUACUAUGUCAUUUUUUUGUAUAAUUUGAUCGUUUUUACUAAAAGCAAGUUCAUGUUUCCAGUUUUAAUUAUUUUUAUAAUGGGGAUUCCGAUAGGUGCCUUAAUUUAUGUAUUUAUUAAAACUAAUAGCACAGAUUAGCCAUAAUUAGCUAUAAUAGUUAAGUGCGGCCAUUCGCAACUCAUAUUCGUCAGGACAUUCUUAUUUUACAAAGUUUUUUUUUAUAGGAAUCGACGUGAGGAUAUCUUAUGCGAGAGUGUAUUAUACUCGUAAUAUAAUGAGUCCAUAUUGGCUGAAUCCUGCCGGUAGAUAUUGUAAUUGUUUCAAACAAAACAGCAACACAUAAUAUGAGGUCUAUUCUAUAAAAUUAACUGCUUUUCUCGUUAAUAUUAAAAGAGCGUUAAGAAAGUGCCAACAAGCUCGAGAAUUAACAAAAAGAAAUGUUUAAAAUUUUAAUGGUAUUUUCUUGAUUUCAGUAUAGAAAAAAAAUGGACCUGACAGACCUGUUAUCAAAUGAAAUAAUAAAUAAUAUAUCGUCUUUUUUUGUAGUUUUCCUUUUGGUAAUUUAAAACUCAUUCAAAUAUUUUUUAUUUAACGUAGACCGAAUGAUGC